GCCGGGCUAGCUCAAUCGGUAGAGCGUGUGACUCUUAUUAUUCAGUUACACUCUCUGAUAAAGCGAUCACAAGGUUGCGGGUUCGACCCCCGCGUUCGGCU